rnacentral:rRNA from 1 species
AUAAUUCGAUGCAACGCGUAAAACCUACCUACCUUGACAUGUCCGGAAUCCCGAAGAGAUUUGGGAGUGCUCGCAAGAGAACCGGAACACAGGUGCUGCAUGGCUGUCGUCAGCUCGUGUCGUGAGAUGUUGGGUUAAGUCCCGCAACGAGCGCAACCCUUGUCAUCAGUUGCCAUCAUUUGGUUGGGCACUCUAAUGAGACUGCCGGUGACAACCGGAGGAAGGUGGGGAUGACGUCAAGUCCUCAUGGCCCUUAUGGGUAGGGCUUCACACGUCAUACAAUGGUCGGUACAGAGGGUUGCCAACCCGCGAGGGGGAGCUAAUCCCACAAAGCCGGUCGUAGUCCGGAUCGCAGUCUGCAACUCGACUGCGUGAAGUCGGAAUCGCUAGUAAUCGCGGAUCAGCAUGUCGCGGUGAAUACGUUCCCGGGUCUU